rnacentral:rRNA from 1 species
UACGUAGGGACCAAGCGUUGUUCGGAUUUACUGGGCGUAAAGGGCGCGUAGGCGGCUUGUCAAGUCACUUGUGAAAUCUCUGGGCUUAACCCAGAACGGCCAAGUGAAACUGACAUGCUAGAGUGCGGAAGGGGCAAUCGGAAUUCUCGGUGUAGCGGUGAAAUGCGUAGAUAUCGAGAGGAACACCUGAGGUGAAGACGGGUUGCUGGGCCGACACUGACGCUGAGUGCGCGAAAGCCAGGGGAGCAAACGGG